rnacentral:rRNA from 1 species
AGAACCUUACAGGUCUUGACAUCCGAUGCUAUUUCUAGAGAUAGAAAGUUACUUGGUACAUCGGUGACAGGUGGUGCAUGGUUGUCGUCAGCUCGUGUCGUGAGAUGUUGGGUUAAGUCCCGCAACGAGCGCAACCCCUAUUGUUAGUUGCCAUCAUUCAGUUGGGCACUCUAGCGAGACUGCCGGUAAUAAACCGGAGGAAGGUGGGGAUGACGUCAAAUCAUCAUGCCCCUUAUGACCUGGGCUACACACGUGCUACAAUGGUUGGUACAACGAGUUGCGAGUCGGUGACGGCGAGCUAAUCUCUUAAAGCCAAUCUCAGUUCGGAUUGUAGGCUGCAACUCGCCUACAUGAAGUCGGAAUCGCUAGUAAUCGCGGAUCAGCACGCCGCGGUCGAAUACGUUCCCGGGCCUU